rnacentral:rRNA from 1 species
CCCCUAAGGCGAGGCCGAAAGGCGUAGUCGAUGGGAAACAGGUUAAUAUUCCUGUACUUGGUGUUACUGCGAAGGGGGGACGGAGAAGGCUAUGUUAGCCGGGCGACGGUUGUCCCGGUUUAAGCAUGUAGGCUGGUUAUCCAGGCAAAUCCGGAUAAUCAAGGCUGAGGUGUGAUGACGAGGCACUACGGUGCUGAAGUAACAAAUGCCCUGCUUCCAGGAAAAGCCUCUAAG